AGGUACCAGGAGCAGCUUGCUGCUUUGCUGACGAUGCCGACGGUGAGUAAUGUCUUGGGAACUGCCUGAUGGAGGGGGAUACUACUUGGAAACGGUCUAAUACCGCAUAAGUCGCAAGACCAAGGAGGGGGCCUUCGGCCUCUUGCCAUCGGAUGUGCCCAGAUGGGAUAGCUAGUAGGUGGGGUAACGGCUCACCUAGGCGACGAUCCCUAGCUGGUCUGAGAGGAUGACCAGCCACACUGGAACUGAGACACGGUCCAGACUCCUACGGGAGGCAGCAGUGGGGAAUAUUGCACAAUGGGCGCAAGCCUGAUGCAGCCAUGCCGCGUGUAUGAAGAAGGCCUUCGGGUUGUAAAGUACUUUGCAGCGGGGAGGAAGGCGAUAAGGUUAAUAACCUUGUCGAUUGACGUUACCCGCAGAAGA
rnacentral:rRNA from 1 species